rnacentral:rRNA from 1 species
AUGAACGCUGGCGGCGUGCCUAAUACAUGCAAGUCGAGCGAACGGACGAGAAGCUUGCUUCUCUGAUGUUGGCGGCGGACGGGUGAGUAACACGUGGAUAACCUACCUAUAAGACUGGGAUAACUUCGGGAAACCGGAGCUAAUACCGGAUAAUAUUUUGAACCGCAUGGUUCAAAAGUGAAAGACGGUCUUGCUGUCACUUAUAGAUGGAUCCGCGCUGCAUUAGCUAGUUGGUAAGGUAACGGCUUACCAAGGCAACGAUGCAUAGCCGACCUGAGAGGGUGAUCGGCCACACUGGAACUGAGACACGGUCCAGACUCCUACGGGAGGCAGCAGUAGGGAAUCUUCCGCAAUGGGCGAAAGCCUGACGGAGCAACGCCGCGUGAGUGAUGAAGGUCUUCGGAUCGUAAAACUCUGUUAUUAGGGAAGAACAUAUGUGUAAGUAACUGUGCACAUCUUGACGGUACCUAAUCAGAAAGCCACGGCUAACUACGUG